AAUUCACAUUUCUCAGAAAUUUGACAACAAAACAAAGGGCGUAUUUUAUUUGCUAAUUUUUGCGAUUUCUAUUGUUUGAUGUAAAUUUAUGUCUUUUGAGGAUAUGUUGAGGCAAUAAAGAAGGCGCAGUUUGAAAAUGGAGUUAUUAGUAAUGAAGUAGCAGGCAUAUUUGGAAAAUUAUGCCGAUAAACAGGAUGGAAUUUGGAAAAAAUGUUAUAAAUCGAGUGGCUCAUCUACGAUGUGCUCCAAACAUUUGGCGAACUUUUUUUUCGCCUUUUCAAUGUGCUAAGUAAGAAACCGCAAACAAAGGGCAGACAACCUUCCCGGAAGCUGCCUCCUGUCCCUGAGUCGAAGCUGAAGUUCAGCAAGAAGCAUGCCAGCAAACUGCUACCCUGAUCAAGCGUAAACUAAAGCGCUCUGCUGCGAUUACACUCCGUAAACGUGAAAACUUGGUGCAUGCUGAGAAAUAUCAAACAAGAAAACUCCGGGAUGGACGCCGUGAGAUGAAGUUCCGCCGUGUGGAGAAAUAACGCGGCCAAUUCUACGUGUCUAAAAAAUCCAAAUUGGCUUUUGUGAUCCGUAUCCGCGAUAUCAACAAAGUUGCACCAAAAGUUUUACUGUUGUUCCGUUUUCGCCACAUUAAACACGGUUUGUUCAUCAAAUUGAACAAGGCAACCAUUAAUAACCUACGUAUGCCGAACCCUAUAUGGGGUUAUCCAAAUCUUAAAUCAGUUCGUUAAUUGAUGUACAAACGUGGAAUUGUCUAGCACAACCAUCAACGUGUCCCAAUCUCUGACAGCAAAUUGCUUAAAGCGCACGAAAUUCAGUGCGUUGAUUAUUUGGAGCACGAAAUAUUCACUGUUGGAACCCACUUCAAGAAAGCCCCCAACUUCCUGAUGCCAUUCAAGCUCAACACAUCAAACCGAGGCUGGCGCAAGAAGGCUAAUCACUACGUUGAGGUUGGUGUUUUCGGUAGCCGUGAGCAUAAGAUCAACAAACUGUUCCGAAAGAUCGCUUAAAGAAUUUUUAUUUUGUAUUUAAAGCGACAAUAUACUUUGGCACAUCUUCAAAAGGCGCCCAAGCAAAAAAAAAA